rnacentral:rRNA from 1 species
UACGGAGGGGAGCUAGCGUUGUUCGGAAUUACUGGGCGUAAAGCGCACGUAGGCGGAUUGUAAGUCAGGGGUGAAAUCCCGGGGCUCACCUCGGAACUGCCUUGAUACUGCAAAUCUCGAGUCCGGAAGAGGUGAGUGGAAUUCCUAGUGUAGAGGUGAAUGCGCAGAUAUCAGGAGGAACACCGGUGGGCGAAGGCGGUCUCUGGGCAUUAACUACGCUGAGGAGCGAAAGCAUGGGGGAGCGAACAGG